rnacentral:rRNA from 1 species
AGACAAUAGAUACCCGGGUAGUCCUAGCCUUAAACGAUGAAUGCUUGGUGUCUGGGGUUUUAUAGUCCCGGGUGCCGUCGCUAAACGCUUUAAAGCAUUCCGCCUGGGGAGUACGGUCGCAAGACUGAAACUCAAAGGAAUUGACGGGGACCCGGCACAAGCGGUGGAGCAUGUGGUUUAAUUCGACGCAACGCGAAGAACCUUACCUGGGCUAGAAUGCCUCUGACCGGCGUAGAGAUACGCCUUCCUGGGUAAAACCAGGCAGAGUGCAAGGUGCUGCAUGGCUGUCGUCAGCUCGUGUCGUGAGAUGUUGGGUUAAGUCCCGCAACGAGCGCAACCCUUAUCAAUAGUCGCCAGCGGUUCGGCCGGGCACUCUAUUGAGACUGCCGUUGACAAAACGGAGGAAGGUGGGGAUGACGUCAAGUCCUCAUGGCCUUUAUGUCCAGGGCUACACACGUGCUACAAUGGCAAGUACAAAGCGCUGCAAACCUGCAAGGGGGUAGCCAAUCGCAAAAAC